rnacentral:rRNA from 1 species
UACGGGGGGGGCAAGCGUUGUUCGGAAUUACUGGGCGUAAAGGGCUCGUAGGUGGCCAACUAAGUCAGACGUGAAAUCCCUCGGCUUAACCGGGGAACUGCGGCUGAUACUGGAUGGCUUGAGAUUGGGAGAGGGAUGCGGAAUUCCAGGUGUAGCGGUGAAAUGCGUAGAUAUCUGGAGGAACACCGGUGGCGAGGGCGGCAUCCUGGACCAACACUGACGCUGAGGAGCGAAAGCCAGGGGAGCAAACGGG